UCUGAAGGCUACUAGGAUCCGCCAUGAGUUCGGGUGAACUUGGGCUAUGCACACUUGGUGGAAUUUCAGAACUUUCUUGAAGAAGUCGUCAAGAGGGAAUCGUAGCCCAGCUGUUAAUUGCUCUUCGUAUACCAUGAUCAUAUCAUUUUCUUCGAAGAAGUGAUCGGCUCGAAGAUCGCCAUGACACCUGAUAAGUUCGUAUGAAUCGCUCCGAAUGUUAUACUCUUCGCUAAACGACUGCAGGUCGAUUUCUUGAAGGAUUGACGGCAGCUUAUCCACAGGAAGGUUUUCUCUCCCUGAAGAAUGUGUUCGUCUUGAGGAUGCUAUUUGACCACGGGCUGGAACGGAGGAUGUAGGAGGUUCGGAUCGAACACUUGGUUCGACCACCUCAACUUCAUCUGAUGACCACGAGACGUGAACAGAAGGGGGGCUCGCCACUCUCUGACCAUCGGUGCCGCUCAUUUUCAAAGAAAAGAGAAAAUUUAAACUAAAAGAAAGAUCAAAACCCUUACAGGAGUGUGACCGGUGUCGGAAGAACUUGAAAAAUUGAGAGAAUUUUAGAAUCACUCGCGAGAUGCUGAAAAUGACAUAAGGGAGCAACUGACUGACCCUUCCCCUAUUUAUACCGUUCUGAACAUUCAAUGCUCACGGUAUCCCAAGCGACGCAUCGGUCAGCGAAAUUAGCCAGCUUUUCUGACACGUCGCAAGAACAUUCCAGAAACUCAUUAAAUAAAUAAGGGGAGAUAGGCUAGUUAAAGAUCGGCGAAUUAAAGUAGAUGUUCAGAAUUAUAGAUCGGUUAAGGGAUGUUCAGUUAGGAAUCGGAUCGGAUAUGCACAUUAGAGAUCGGAAAAUAACCAAUGCAAUAAUUAAAUGACAACUGUCAAAUAAAAUUUGAUUUCAUUUCCAAAAUGUCAGAUUACAUCAUUUGG
rnacentral:misc_RNA from 1 species